CCUACGAGGUGCAGCAGUGGGGAAUAUUGCACAAUGGGGGAAACCCUGAUGCAGCGACGCCGCGUGAGCGAUGAAGUAUUUCGGUAUGUAAAGCUCUAUCAGCAGGGAAGAAAAUGACGGUACCUGACUAGGAAGCCCCGGCUAACUCCGUUCCAGCAGCCGCGGUAAUUCGUAGGGGGCAAGCGUUAUCCGGAUUUACUGGGUGUAAAGGGGGCGUAGACGGUCCUGCAAGCCAAAUGUGAAAGCCCGGGGCUCAACCCCGGGACUGCAUUUGGAACUGUAAGGCUAGAGUGUCGGAGAGGCAGGCGGAAUUCCUAGUGUAGCGGUGAAAUGCGUAGAUAUUAGGAGGAACACCAGUGGCGAAGGCGGCCUGCUGGACGAUGACUGACGUUGAGGCUCGAAAGCGUGGGGAGCAAACAGGAUUAGAUACCCCUGUAGUC
rnacentral:rRNA from 1 species